AUUGAACGCUGGCGGCAUGCCUUACACAUUCAAGUCGAACGGUAACAGGUCUUCGGAUGCUGACGAGUGGCGAACGGGUGAGUAAUACAUCGGAACGUGCCCGAUCGUGGGGGAUAACGGAGCGAAAGCUUUGCUAAUACCGCAUACGAUCUACGGAUGAAGGUAGGGGACAUCACAGCCUUGCGCGGACCGAGCGGCCGAUGGCAGAUUAGGUAGUUGGUGGGAUAAAAGCUUACCAAGACGACUGUCUGUAGCUGGUCUGAGAGGACGACCAGCCACACGGGGACUGAGACACGGCCCAGACUCCUACGUGAGGCAGCAGUGGGAAAUUUUGGACAAUGGGCGCAAGCCUGAUCCAGCCAUGCCGCGUGCAGGAUGAAGGCCUUCGGGUUGUAAACUGCUUUUGUACGGAACGAAACGGCUCUUUCUAAUAAAGAGGGCUAAUGACGGUACCGUAAGAAUAAGCACCGGCUAACUACGUGCCAGCAGCCGCGGUAAGAC
rnacentral:rRNA from 1 species